UGCCAUACCAUGUUGAAUAUACCGGUUCUCGUUAGAUCACCGAAGUCAAGCAUUAUUGGGCGCGGUCAGUACUUGGAUGGGUGACCACCUGGGAACACCGCGUGCCGUU
rnacentral:rRNA from 1 species